ACAAGCCCUGGAAACGGGGUCUAAUACCGGAUAACACCCNCUCUCGCAUGGGAGGGGGUUGAAAGCUCCGGCGGUGAAGGAUGAGCCCGCGGCCUAUCAGCUAGUUGGUGAGGUAGAAGCUCACCAAGGCGACGACGGGUAGCCGGCCUGAGAGGGCGACCGGCCACACUGGGACUGAGACACGGCCCAGACUCCUACGGGAGGCAGCAGUGGGGAAUAUUGCACAAUGGGCGAAAGCCUGAUGCAGCGACGCCGCGUGAGGGAUGACGGCCUUCGGGUUGUAAACCUCUUUCAGCAGGGAAGAAGCGANAGUGACGGUACCUGCAGAAGAAGCGCCGGCUAACUACGUGCCAGCAGCCGCGGUAAUACGUAGGGCGCAAGCGUUGUCCGGAAUUAUUGGGCGUAAAGAGCUCGUAGGCGGCUUGUCGCGUCGGUUGUGAAAGCCCG
rnacentral:rRNA from 1 species